GAUGAACGCUGGCGGCGUGCUUAACACAUGCAAGUCGAACGGUGAAAGAGAGCUUGCUCUCUGGAUCAGUGGCGAACGGGUGAGUAACACGUGAGCAAUCUGCCCCUGACUCUGGGAUAAGCGCUGGAAACGGCGUCUAAUACCGGAUACGAGCUGCGAAGGCAUCUUCAGCAGCUGGAAAGAACUUCGGUCAGGGAUGAGCUCGCGGCCUAUCAGCUAGUUGGUGAGGUAAUGGCUCACCAAGGCGUCGACGGGUAGCCGGCCUGAGAGGGUGACCGGCCACACUGGGACUGAGAAACGGCCCAGACUCCUACGGGAGGCAGCAGUGGGGAAUAUUGCACAAUGGGCGCAAGCCUGAUGCAGCAACGCCGCGUGAGGGACGACGGCCUUCGGGUUGUAAACCUCUUUUAGCAGGGAAGAAGCGAAAGUGACGGUACCUGCAGAAAAAGCACCGGCUAACUACGUGCCAGUCGCCGCAGUAACAC
rnacentral:rRNA from 1 species